UAUUGUUAUUUGUUUCAACUCACCGAUUCUCCUUAGAGCUACGCUUCAGCAGUACAAACUGUUGACUCCUGAAGAUGAAAAUGAAGAUAAUCUGUGGGUUUGUUAUCUUCACUCUCCAGUCUUCAACCUUAGUACUGGGAUUGCCACAGUUCUUGGACGAACCAGACCAGAGCGUUACGUUAGUUGUGGAACCAGACGCAUACCCAAAUCCACAGAUCAUUUACGUCCCAGAGCGCCCAACAACUGAGCCCACAUGCCCUCCAGGGCACAGAUAUGAUGGUUACCUCAAGUGCAGACUUGUAAUUCCUUGAUUAACCAUACCUGGGAUAAUGUGAAGCUGCUGAGGAAUGUGCUGAACCACUUACCACCUGCUAUGAUUAUUCUGGACAUCUGAUUCUACCAUACCACUUCAAUCAUACUAUUGACUAUACUUCAUGUGAUAAAUUACACCUAACAAUAAACCAAUUGUGUCAUUGCAA
rnacentral:lncRNA from 1 species